AUGUGUUCAUCAUAGUGACUGUUCCUCUAGUGGUUCUGUGUUUAAUGUGUUCAUCAUAGUGACUGUUCCUCUAGAGAGGUUCUGUGUUUAAUGUGUUCAUCAUAGUGACUGUUCCUCUAGUGGUUCUGUGUUUAAUGUGUUCAUCAUAGUGACUGUUCCUCUAGAGGUUCUGUGUUUAAUGUGUUCAUCAUAGUGACUGUUCCUCUAGUGGUUCUGUGUUUAAUGUGUUCAUCAUAGUGACUGUUCCUCUAGUGGUUCUGUGUUUAAUGUGUUCAUCAUAGUGACUGUUCCUCUAGUGGUUCUGUGUUUAAUGUGUU
rnacentral:lncRNA from 1 species